rnacentral:rRNA from 1 species
AGCGAACGCUGGCGGCAGGCUUAACACAUGCAAGUCGAGCGGAUGUAGCAAUACAUCAGCGGCAGACGGGAGAGUAACACGUGGGAACGUACCCUUCAGUUCGGAACAACCCAGGGAAACUUGGGCUAAUACCGGAUACGUCCGUAAGGAGAAAGAUUUAUCGCUGAGGGAUCGGCCCGCGUCUGAUUAGCUAGUUGGUGAGGUAACGGCUCACCAAGGCGACGAUCAGUAGCUGGUCUGAGAGGAUGAUCAGCCUCACUGGGACUGAGACACGGCCCAGACUCCUACGGGAGGCAGCAGUGGGGAAUAUUGGACAAUGGGCGCAAGCCUGAUCCAGCCAUGCCGCGUGGGUGAUGAAGGCCCUAGGGUUGUAAACCUCUUUCAGCCCUGACGAAGCGAAAGUGACGGUAGGGGCAGAAGAAGCACCGGCCAACUACGUGCC